rnacentral:rRNA from 1 species
UACGUAGGGGCAAGUGUUAUCCGGAUUUACUGGGUGUAAAGGGAGCGCAGACGGCAGCGCAAGUCUGAUGUGAAAUCCCGGGGCUCAACCCCGGAACUGCAUUGGAAACUGCGCAGCUCGAGUAUCGGAGAGGUAAGCGGAAUUCCUAGUGUAGCGGUGAAAUGCGUAGAUAUUAGGAGGAACACCGGCGGCGAAGGCGGCUUACUGGACGAAGACUGACGUUGAGGCUCGAAAGCGUGGGGAGCAAACAGGAUUAGAUACCCCCGUAGUCCCU